GACGAACGCUGGCGGCGUGCCUAAUACAUGCAAGUUGAGCGCUGAAGGUUGGUACUUGUACCAACUGGAUGAGCAGCGAACGGGUGAGUAACGCGUGGGGAAUCUGCCUUUGAGCGGGGGACAACAUUUGGAAACGAAUGCUAAUACCGCAUAAAAACUUUAAACACAAGUUUUAAGUUUGAAAGAUGCAAUUGCAUCACUCAAAGAUGAUCCCGCGUUGUAUUAGCUAGUUGGUGAGGUAAAGGCUCACCAAGGCGAUGAUACAUAGCCGACCUGAGAGGGUAAGCGGCAACAUUGGGACUGAGACACGGCCCAAACUCCUACGGGAGGCAGCAGUAGGGAAUCUUCGGCAAUGGACGAAAGUCUGACCGAGCAACGCCGCGUGAGUGAAGAAGGUUUUCGGAUCGUAAAACUCUGUUGGUAGAGAAGAACGUUGGUGAGAGUGGAAAGCUCAUCAAGUGACGGUAACUACACAGAAAGGGACGGCUAACUACGUG
rnacentral:rRNA from 1 species